AACUCUCAACCCCCCUGUUUUGUAAUGAGAUAGGCGUGGGCUUGGAUUAUGGCUGUCUGUCGGCGUAAAGUCGGCUCAGCUGAAAUACACGAGCAACCCAUUUGAAAUAGACGGUUUGACUCGGCGUAAUAAUUAUUUCGCUGAGGACGUCUAACCUUUAAAUCGUUAGUGGUGCUUCUAAUGCAUUUAUAAUUUAAGC
rnacentral:misc_RNA from 1 species